rnacentral:lncRNA from 1 species
CAGCACUCUUCGGGAAUGAUGUUUUAAAGGAUCGCAUACAGUUCACAAAAAACAAAGUGCCCUGCAAGUGUGCGCUGGGCUGGACCAACGUUGCUGGAAAUGUCCCCGAGCGAUCGAUCGGAGGCUCCCUUGCCCAGUCCUCUGCCUUCUCUGUUACCAAGUGGCGUCCACACUCACCUCUGCAGGUACUUGGGGAACACCGGCAAGUUCCAACACAACUGAGAAGGAAUGCCGCACGCUUGCUGCUUAUACUGAUGAUUCACGUCAGUGACGGCUAGAAAGAGGUGCUUGUUGGUGGACAGGGGAGUUGAGUCAGGCUCCGCCCCCCACAUAAGGAUUACGUAACCUCACCCAGCCCAGCCAUUAGGCGGACUCCUCACCCAGUGCC